GGAUCUUUUAUUUAGUCAGAUGUAUGAUAAAUUAAGUGAGAAUUCAGUGGCCAAAGGAGUAUUUUUGGAGUGCCUUGAGCCAUAUAUUUUAAGUGAUAAAUUGGUGGGAAUCACACCCCAAGUAAUGAAAGACUUGAUUGUUCAUUUCCAAGAUAAAAAAUUAAUGGAAAAUGUGGAAGCGCUCAUUGUACAUAUGGAUAUCACCAGCCUAGAUAUUCAGCAGGUAGUUCUCAUGUGUUGGGAAAAUCGUUUAUAUGAUGCUAUGAUCUAUGUCUACAACAGAGGCAUGAAUGAAUUUAUUAGUCCAAUGGAGAAACUUUUCAGAGUCAUUGCUCCUCCUCUGAAUGCAGGAAAAACACUAACAGGUAUUUAUUUUCUAAGCCUUAAUUUUUUGCUUUCCUGUAUUUAAGGUAUUAUUUAAAUGUUACAAAAUUGGCCAAUUAUAUGUGUGCAGUGUGAAUGUUGGUAAUCAUGUACAGUCAUGUAACACCACCAUAAUCAAGCUGUAGAAGGAGCCAUAGCUUCUCACACUAAAAAGUUUCCUCCUUCCCCUUUGUACUUGAUCCUUUCCCCACAGCCCUGCUCUGGGCAGUCACUGAUCUACUUUCUGUCACUGCACUUCAUGUAAAUGGAAUUAUGUACUAUGUAACCUUUGGUGUUUUAUUUAUUUCACUUUACGUGGAUGAAGCGUAAUAUUUUUGAGAGUCAUCCAUGUUGUUCUAUGUAUAUUAAUAUUUUGUUCCCUUUUACCACUGA
rnacentral:sRNA from 1 species